UGAACCUCAGAGACUGCUCUUCCACAUUGGGUCUCUCCGGUUAUUUAUUGAGCUCCUACCAAUUACCUGGUGCUGUUCUAGACACUGGAAUGCAGAAGUGUGCAAAAGCAGAGGCGUGGAAAUCCCUGUUCUCAUGGAGCGUCCAUUUUGGUGGAGGAUCUACAUUCACUGGGCAUCUUCUAUGCGACAAGAACUGUGCCGUAUGGUAGAGAGAUAAAUGUGAACAAGAAGGAGGCUUUGGCUUGAAUUUGUGUGUGUGUGUGUGUCUACUUAUGAUUAGUUUCAGUUAUCAGCAGCCCAGGGGUAGAUUCCAAAGGAGGACACAGUGACCUAAGAUUUCACAAGUCCAUAAAACAUCUGUUUGGGUUUCAGGUAACUGAACUCCCACGUAGAUGUCCUGCCAACAAACCCAGCAGCUGUGCCAACCUCCUCUUAAAGGGCCUACGACCCAGUGCCCCCCAAAGUGUCCCCCUAAGAACCCUCCCAAGAUGCCCUGCUCCAGUCUCUUCCUGCUGUGGCCCUAGCUCCGGGGGUGCUGUGGCCUCAGCUAACAGUGGCAUCAGAGCUCCAGUUGCUGCCACUGCUUUGGGGCUGCUCCCCACCUGGGCUCUGAGCAUCAGCUGAGUGACUGAGAGGCCAAUGACCAGCACCAGCCUUGUGCUUCUUGUCCUUCAGUCCCUUUCUAUCCCUGAUGAGCUCUCACCUGAAGAACAUGCCCAUGCUGGGGCUGUGCCACAGAAGCAGCCGUUGGCACAGCAACUUUGGGGCUGGGCUCAACUUACUUCCCUGAUGUGUGGUGUGAUGGCUCUGAACAAGCUGCUUUCCUACAAUAAAUACUUUAAAAUCC